rnacentral:rRNA from 1 species
GUUGUAUAGUCAAGUAAUUAAGUGCAUGUGGUGGAUGCCUUGGCAGUCAGAGGCGAUGAAAGACGUGAUAGCCUGCGAAAAGCUCCGGGGAGGCGGCAAAUAUCCUUUGAUCCGGAGAUGUCUGAAUGGGGGAACCCACCUACUUUAAGGUAGGUAUUGCAACAUGAAUACAUAGUGUUGCAAGGCGAACGAGGGGAAGUGAAACAUCUCAGUACCCUUAGGAAAAGAAAUCAAUUGAGAUUCCCUCAGUAGCGGCGAGCGAACGGGGAUCAGCCCAUUAAGUUAUGUGUGUUUUAGUGGAACGCUCUGGGAAGUGCGAACGUAGAGGGUGAUAUUCCCGUACACGAAAGGGCACACAUAAUGAUGACGAGUAGGGCGAGGCACGUGAAACCUUGUCUGAAUAUGGGGGGACCAUCCUCCAAGGCUAAAUACUCCUGACUGACCGAUAGUGAACCAGUACCGUGAGGGAAAGGCGAAAAGAACCCCUGUGAGGGGAGUGAAAUAGAUCCUGAAACCGCAUGCAUACAAGCAGUGGGAGCACCUUCGUGGUGUGACUGCGUACCUUUUGUAUAAUGGGUCAGCGACUUAUAUUCAGUAGCAAGGUUAACCGUAUAGGGGAGCCGUAGAGAAAUCGAGUCUUAAUAGGGCGUUUAGUUGCUGGGUAUAGACCCGAAACCAGGCGAUCUAUCCAUGAGCAGGUUGAAGGUUGGGUAACACUAACUGGAGGACCGAACCCACUGUCGUUGAAAAGCCAGGGGAUGACUUGUGGAUAGGGGUGAAAGGCUAAUCAAGCCUGGUGAUAGCUGGUUCUCCCCGAAAGCUAUUUAGGUAGCGCCUCGGACGAAUACCAUAGGGGGUAGAGCACUGUUUCGGCUAGGGGGUCAUCCCGACUUACCAAACCGAUGCAAACUCCGAAUACCUAUGAGUACUAUCCGGGAGACAGACUGCGGGUGCUAACGUCCGUAGUCAAGAGGAAAACAAUCCAGACCGCCAGCUAAGGCCCCAAAAUCAUAGUUAAGUGGGAAACGAUGUGGGAAGGCAUAGACAGCUAGGAGGUUGGCUUAGAAGCAGCCACCCUUUAAAGAAAGCGUAAUAGCUCACUAGUCGAGUCGGCCUGCGCGGAAGAUGUAACGGGGCUAAAACUAUGUGCCGAAGCUGCGGAUNNNNNNNNNNNNNNNNNNNNNNNNNNNNNNNNNNNNNNNNNNNNNNNNNNNNNNNNNNNNNNNNNNNNNAUGCUGGAGGUAUCAGAAGUGCGAAUGCUGACGUGAGUAACGACAAAACGGGUGAAAAACCCGUUCGCCGAAAGACCAAGGGUUCCAGUCCAACGUUAAUCGGGGCUGGGUGAGUCGACCCCUAAGGCGAGGCCGAAAGGCGUAGUCGAUGGGAAAAUGGUUAAUAUUCCAUUACUUCUGUGUAAUGCGAUGAGAGGACGGAGAAGGCUAAAUCAGCCUGGCGUUGGUUGUCCAGGUGAAAGGAUGUAGGCAUGUAUCUUAGGCAAAUCCGGGGUACUCUAUGCUGAGAUCUGAUAGCAAGCUGUACUUGUACAGCGAAGUGGUUGAUGCCAUGCUUCCAGGAAAAGUCUCUAAGCUUCAGUUACACAGGAAUCGUACCCGAAACCGACACAGGUGGUCAGGUCGAGUAGACCAAGGCGCUUGAGAGAACUCUGCUGAAGGAACUAGGCAAAAUGGUACCGUAACUUCGGGAGAAGGUACGCUGUUGUUGGUGAUGGAACUCGCUUCCUGAGCUGACGACAGCCGCAGAAACCAGGCCGCUGCAACUGUUUAUUAAAAACAUAGCACUCUGCAAACACGAAAGUGGACGUAUAGGGUGUGAUGCCUGCCCGGUGCUGGAAGGUUAAUUGAUGGGGUUAGCGUAAGCGAAGCUCUUGAUCGAAGCCCCAGUAAACGGCGGCCGUAACUAUAACGGUCCUAAGGUAGCGAAAUUCCUUGUCGGGUAAGUUCCGACCUGCACGAAUGGCAUAAUGAUGGCGGCGCUGUCUCCAGCAGAGGCUCAGUGAAAUCGAAAUCGCUGUGAAGAUGCAGUGUACCCGCGGCUAGACGGAAAGACCCCGUGAACCUUUACUGCAGCUUGACACUGAACUUUGACCUUACUUGUGUAGGAUAGGUGGGAGGCUUUGAAGCUGGAACGCUAGUUCCAGUGGAGCCGUCCUUGAAAUACCACCCUGGUAAUGUUGAGGUUCUAACUCUGUCCCGUGAUCCGGGACGAGGACCGUGUCUGGUGGGUAGUUUGACUGGGGCGGUCUCCUCCUAAAGAGUAACGGAGGAGUACGAAGGUGCGCUCAGCGUGGUCGGAAAUCACGCGUAGAGUAUAAAGGCAAAAGCGCGCUUAACUGCGAGACCCACAAGUCGAGCAGGUACGAAAGUAGGUCUUAGUGAUCCGGUGGUUCUGUAUGGAAGGGCCAUCGCUCAACGGAUAAAAGGUACUCUGGGGAUAACAGGCUGAUACCGCCCAAGAGUUCAUAUCGACGGCGGUGUUUGGCACCUCGAUGUCGGCUCAUCUCAUCCUGGGGCUGAAGCAGGUCCCAAGGGUAUGGCUGUUCGCCAUUUAAAGAGGUACGCGAGCUGGGUUUAGAACGUCGUGAGACAGUUCGGUCCCUAUCUACCGUGGGCGCUGGAAAUUUGAGAGGAUCUGCUCCUAGUACGAGAGGACCAGAGUGGACGAACCUCUGGUGUACCGGUUGUGACGCCAGUCGCAUCGCCGGGUAGCUAUGUUCGGAAGGGAUAACCGCUGAAAGCAUCUAAGCGGGAAGCCUACCUCAAGAUAAGAUUUCCCUAGGACUUUAUGUCCUCUAAAGAGCCGUUCGAGACUAGGACGUUGAUAGGUUGGAUGUGGAAGCAUAGUGAUAUGUGAAGCUGACCAAUACUAAUUGCUCGUGAGGCUUGACUAUACAACACCCAAGCAGUUG